rnacentral:rRNA from 1 species
UACAGGGGGUGCAAGCGUUAUUCGGAAUUAUUGGGCGUAAAGAGCGUGUAGGCGGCCAAGCAAGUUUGGUGUGAAAUCCCCGGGCUUAAUCCGGGAAGUGCAUUGAAUACUGCUAGGCUAGAGUAUAGGAGAGGAUGGCGGAAUUCCUGGUGUAGAGGUGAAAUUCGUAGAUAUCAGGAGGAACAACAGAGGCGAAGGCGGCCAUCUGGACUAUUACUGACGCUAAGGCGCGAAAGUGUGGGGAGCAAACAGG